rnacentral:rRNA from 1 species
AACGAACGCUGGCGGCAGGCUUAACACAUGCAAGUCGAGCGAAGACUUCGGUCUUAGCGGCGGACGGGUGAGUAACGCGUGGGAACAUACCCUUUGCUACGGAACAGUCCCGGGAAACUGGGUUUAAUACCGUAUACGCCCUUCGGGGGAAAGAUUUAUUGCUGAUAGAUUAGCCCGCGUUAGAUUAGCUAGUUGGUGGGGUAAAGGCCUACCAAGGCGACGAUCUAUAGCUGGUCUGAGAGGAUGAUCAGCCACACUGGGACUGAGACACGGCCCAGACUCCUACGGGAGGCAGCAGUGGGGAAUAUUGGACAAUGGGCGCAAGCCUGAUCCAGCCAUGCCGCGUGAGUGAUGAAGGCCUUAGGGUUGUAAAGCUCUUUCAGCUGGGAAGAUAAUGACGGUACCAGCAGAAGAAGCCCCGGCUAACUCCGUGCCAGCCGCCGCAGUAACAC